AUGAACGCCAUCGGCGAUAACAUUUUUUCGUUAGCGCUAAUUGCCCACCCCACGUCGUCUCACUCUGGCGGUCAAUCCCCGAUCGCCCCGCUCGCCCGCCUCCUCCUGGUCGCCCCGCUCGCCCCCGCUCGUCCGCCUCCCCCCCGGUACCUGCAGGCGAACGCGACGCACGCGCUGGUCCUCGUCGACCGGAGCAACUUGGGCAUCAGCGGCGCCGCGCUGGUCAGGUACCCGGAGGACCCGUACGACCGCGUGUGGAUCCCGUGGAGCGAGAUCGACUCGAAUGAGUGGGCGGAUAUCUCGACGCCGGAGAAGGUGAAGGAGCUGGCGGACCUCCGCUUCAACGCGCCGUCCGCCGUGAUGCAGACCGCCAUCGCGCCGCGCAACGGCUCCAGGUCGGCGUCGUCAAGGACCAUCGAGCUGUCGUGGGACGCGGCGCCGAACCACGCCUACCCGGACCCCGAGGUCAUCGGCAUCGUGUACUUCGCGGAGCUGGAGGUCGUGGCCGGGGGCGCCGCGCGCCAGUUCGAGAUGGCCAUCAACGGCAAGCUCUGGAGCAAGGCCCCCUUCACGCCGCAGCACCUCAUCUGCGACGCCUUCUUCAACAGCGAGGCCCACCGGGGUUCGGCGGCCACUACAACAUCACCCUCAAGGCGACGGCGAACUCCACGCUGGUGCCGACCAUCAACGCCGCCGAGUUCUUCUCCGUCGUCUCCACGGCCAACGUCGCAACGGACACCAAGGAUGUUGUGGCCAUGGCUGCGAUCAAGGCAAAGUAUGAGGUGAAGAAGAACUGGGCGGGUGACCCAUGCGCUCCCAAGAAUCUCGUUUGGGAAGGGUUGAACUGCAGCUAUGCCAUGUCCAUGCCUCCUAGAAUCACAAGAUUAAAUAUGUCAUUUGGCGGUUUGAGCGGUAGCAUACAAUCUCAUUUCGCCAACCUCAAAGCAAUCAAGUAUUUGGACUUGUCAUACAACAACUUUACACGAUCAAUUCCUAAUGCUCUUUCUGAACUACCAUUCCUCGUGGUGCUAGACUUGACUGGCAACCAGCUUAAUGGGUCCAUCCCCUCCGGGCUUAUUUUUCGGGAAAACGCAAAGGUUUGCGUUUCUUUUGAUUGAAAAGGGAGAGAAUAUGGACAGUACAUGCCUACGAGAAGGAGGCUACAGGGGCUCAAAAGAAAAAAUGGAAAAGGAAAGAAAGGCGUGCACAAGACUAGUGAACAUCCCAGAUACGGCAAAAAUCCAAACCUUUGCAGCAACGGUUCCUCUUGGGAGCCCACCAAAAAGAAGAGCAAAUCUAUGCUUGCCGUGUACAUUGUUGUUCCAAUACUUGCAGUUGUGGUGAUAGGAGCACUGGCAAUGCUACUUCUUCUCAUACUGAGAAAAAAGAAAGGAUCAAGAAAGGGCAGUGUGAAGCCACAGAACGAGGCCAGUCGCGUGCAUUCGCAGUGGCGGAACGGCGACACUCACAGCGUGCUGCAGGUGGACCACCGUCGGUUCACGUACAAGGACCUGCAGGUCAUGACGAACAACUUCAAGACGGUGCUCGGCCGGGGAGGAUUCGGCUCCGUGUACGACGGCUUCUUGGCGGAUGGCACGCAGGUAGCAGUCAAGCUGCGGUCUGAGUCCUCCAGUCAAGGCAUUAGAGAGUUCCUCACAGAGGCUCAGACCUUGACAAAGAUUCACCAUAAGAAUCUUGUGUCAAUGGUUGGUUACUGCAAGGAUGGGGAGUACAUGGCGCUUGUCUACGAGCAUAUGUCUGAAGGAAAUCUGGAGGACAAACUCAGAGGACAAAGCGGGCAUACAUCAGGAAUAAAUUCAGCUUAGGUAAGAGUAUCAAGAGGAUGAACUCGCUUGACGGCUUGUACCGCAUGUUCCCUACACAUGGCGAGACCCCACCGAUGCGGUGUCUAACCUGUAGAAAUAGUACCCACAAAAUCAAGAGGGUGGGUGGAUACAAAUCAUUGUCCAACAUUCAUCUCCCUGUUAACUGUUUUAGUCUGAAUUAUGAUGCUACUGUACUAUAUAUCAUUCAUUCAGAUUCAAACUUCCCGCGAUUGCAUACACUGAUUGUAUAUACAUUGUGUUAAUUAAUUAGUGACACCCUCAGCUGCUUCAUUUCACGGGCCGCAAAUGAGUUAGACAGAGAGGACAUUGCGGAAGAGGAGGUCACUGCUAUGCAAGUGGAGACAUGGAAAGAGUAGAAGAAAGUUUGCACGGUUCAGAGAGAGGGAGCAAAAUAAAUACAACUAUUUGGUGAAAAACAAAACAUAGAAUAAGUGAUGCACAUACUUUGCUUGUUCUGUGACAACCACUUGUAUUUUGCUAUGUUUUUUAAACUGAUUAAAUGAUGUCUUUUUGUUUUUUUCUGAAUUAUUUUCAUCAUUGUCUUGUAGGAUAGGGCUGUUAGUAGGGCAGAGAAAAAAAAACUACCACUUGUUCAUGAUAAACGCAUUUCUGGCAUUACACGCUCACAUCUGAGUGCUUGACAGAAAAUAAAGGAAAAUUAGUAGUGUCAUUCAGAUACCUUGAUGUGGGAUGCUAUCUUGUUUGGCAUGCAUUUCUACACAAAUUUGUAUUGAAUUUAUGAAUGCAUUGUUUUGUAUUGUUAUGAGUAUGUGCCCACUUGACUUCA